CCUACGGGAGGCAGCAGUGAGGAAUAUUGGUCAAUGGGCGGAAGCCUGAACCAGCCAAGUAGCGUGCAGGAUGACGGCCCUAUGGGUCGUAAACUGCUUUUGCACGGGGGUAACACCCUCCACGUGUUGAGGUCUGCAAGUACCGUUCGAAUAAGGGCCGGCUAAUUCCGUGCCAGCAGCCGCGGUAAUACGGAAGGCCCGAGCGUUAUCCGGUUUUAUUGGGCUUAAAGGGAGCGUAGGCGGGCGUUCAAGUCAGCUGUAAAAUCUCGGGGCUCAACCGCGCCCCGCAGUUGAUACUGUACGCCUUGAGAUCACAACAGGCAGGCGGAAUUCGUGGUGUAGCGGUGAAAUGCAUAGAGAUCACGAGGAACCCCGAUUGCGAAGGCAGCCUGCCGGGGUGCGACUGACGCUGAGGCUCGAAGGUGCGGGUAUCAAACAGGAUUAGAUACCCUUGUAGUC
rnacentral:rRNA from 1 species